GCCAACCGAAAGCCCCGCAGGUGGAGGGCGCCUCAGGAGCGAAGCUCCGACGGGUGGGGUUUAGCACCAUAUGGAGGGAAAAUAAUUCCGGAUUGAGUAAGGCGGCUCACGACCGCAGGGGCUCCCCCGGCCCAGGCCCCGAGCGGCGCAGCCGGAGCCCGAGCCGCCGCAAAGGUGGCAGCGGCAGCGACAGGAGCCCGAGCAGCCGGUUCCGUAAACUCAUCAGAUCGCGACGCCCUCACGCCCGGAGCCGCCGCGUAGCGAGGUCACGUGGCGCGGAGACGGCUCCGGGAGCGGAUGAAUGUGGAGGAGAGGCCGGGCUCCAAUCCCGCCGUGGGGCAGCGAGCGCGGGGGAGGAACACGUCUUCUACCCUGUACGCCUCGGGCUUCCUUGUCUGGAACGGCCUCUUAACCGGAGGCCCCCCAGAGAGUUCCUGGGGCGGAAUUGGAAAUUGAAGGGAUGCCCAUCAAUUGUAGAAUGGAAUGGAAUAUUAUUGUUCUAUAAGAAAUGAUGAGCAGACUGAUUACAGAAAAAAGCCUGGAUGUUGAGGGAAGUGAGCAGAACCAGGAGAACACUGUACACAGUAACAGCAACAUUGUGAAAUGAUCAAUUGUGAUAGACUUAGCUCUUCUCAGCAAUGCAACCCCAAGGGACCUGUGAUGGAAAAUGCUGACUAGAUGCAGACAAAGAACUAUUGAAAUUGAAUCCAGAUCUAAGCAUACUAUUGUCACUUUUGUUUUGCUUUACUUUGUUUUUUUCUUUCUCAUGGUUUCCCCCUUUUGUUCUGAGUUUUCUUUUACAGCAUGACUAAUACAGAAAUAUGUUUUAACAUGAUUAUGUAUGUCUUAACAAUUGUUUGCUGUCUUAGAGAGGAGGGGAAGGAAGGGAGGGAGGAAGAUAGAAAAAUUUAGUGUUCAAAAUCUUACAAAGAUGGAUGAUGAUUUCUAAAAUAUAGAGAGAAUUGACUCACUUAUAAGAAUAUAAGCCAUUCUUCAAUUGAUAAAUGAUCAAAGGAUAUGAACAGAUAAUUUUCAGAUGAAGAUAUUAAAUCCAUUUCUAAUCAUAUGAAAAAAUACUCUAAAUCACUAUUGAUCAGAGAAACACACAUUAAAACAACUCUAAGGUACUACUACACACCUCUCAAUUUGGUUAAGAAGACAGGAAAAUAUAUUAUUGGUGGGGAUAUGGGACAACUGGGACUCUUAUUACAUUGUUGGUGGAGUUGUGAAAUGAUCUAACCAUUCUGGAAAGUAAUUUGAAACUAUACCCAAACAACUAUCUAACUGUGCAUACCCUUUGUUCCAAUAGUAUCACUAUUGGGUCUGUAUCCUAAAGAUAUUAUUAAAAAGGGAAAAAGACUCACAAGAGCAAAAAUGUUUGUAAAAGUACUUUUUGUAGUGGCGGGGAACUGGAAACUGAGGAUGUCCAUCAGUUGGGAAAUAGCUGAAUAAGUUAUGGUCUAUAAUAGUAUAGAGUGUUAUUGUUGUAUAAGAAAUGAUCAAUAGGCUGAUUUCAGAAAGACCUGGAGAGACUUACACGAAAUGAUGCUAAAUGAAGUGAGUCGAACCAAGAGAACAUUGUACACAACAGCAACAAGAUUAUGUGAUGACCAACUGUAAUGGACUUCACUCUUCAACAAUGAGAUGGUUCAGGCCAGUUCCAAUAGACCUGUGAUGGAGAAAGCUGAGGACUGUGGGGUCUCAAUGUGCAUCACAGCAUCGUAUUUUCACCUUCUUUGUUAUUGUUUGCUUGCUUUUUGUUUUCUUUGUCAUUUUUUCCCUCUUUGAUCCGAUUUUUCUUGUGCAGCAUGAUAAAUGUGGAAAUAUGUAUAGAAAAAUGGCACAUGUUUUAACAUAUGUUGGAUUACUUGCUGUCUAGGGAAAGUGGGGAUAAGGGAGAGAGAAAAAUUUGGAACACAAGGUAUUGCAAGGGUGAAUGUUGAAACUUAUCUUUGCAUAUAGUUUGAAAAUUAAAAGCUAUUAUUUAAAAAUAAAAAUAAUGAAAAUAAAAAAAUAAA